GAUUAACUGCACAGAAGAGCAAAAAUAGCCAACCUUCCAGCCUCUCCAAGAUGCUAAGAAGAACUUAAAACAGUCCAGCAGCAAAGCAGUUAACAUGACAGGAAUACUAAAGUUACUAAAAUACUGAAGUUAGCCAAAUUGAAAUGAUAGAAGUUAAUAGAAACGUGACCUUGAGAAUCAAGUAGCGUUAUGGAAGAUAAUGUAUGAGAAGUUCCAACCUGGAAGCAUGUGAAGAUGGAUCUACAGGGGUAGAAAUCCAGAGAAGUGGUUUGAGAAGGAGUUAGAACUGCCGAAGUAGCCAUGUGGUGAUGUCUGAAUCUUCACUGAAGGAAGUUGUGUUACACCCAUCCUGGAGAAGCUGUCAUUGGACAAAUCAUAAAGGUAGAGAACAACUUUUGUUGAGAAGAUGGUCAUAUUGUGGCUUCAGAGGAUCAUGGCAUUCAUUACAGUGGAGGCAUCAGGAGCUGAUGAAACCCUCUCUAAUUCUACCACUAGUACAUUUUCUGCAGUUGUCUUUCUUUUAAUUUAAUUCUCCUAUUCUGAAAGCAUACUGUCCAUUGCAAUUAUCGAGUAAGCAUUUAAUCUAGCAUAAGUAAAGCAUUUUAAUCUUUUCUUAUGGAAAAACAAUUAAAUGGUCAUAACACUGCUAUGAUGAGCAUUCCUUUCAUUUAUUCCAAAGUUUUAGAAGUUUCUUAUGCCACGUCCAAGUAAAACUAAACUACUUUAUCAAAAACCAUUAAUUUUGGAUUCCUGGAUUUAUAAUUGACUGCUUUUUCCUAUUGUUCAGAAAUACACUGUAUGUCUUCAUAAUAGGCUAUGACUCACUAAUGUACCAUUUUAUGACAAUAUUUAAUUUUUGCACAGCUUUCAAAGCAAUGAUCUCUGUCCUCCAGAUUCUAGAUUUAAUAUUAUUUUGCAGAAUUUUAUUUUUAUAGAGUAGUAUACAAUGUAAUAAACAGUCCCAAACUGGACUUAGAUACAAGAUAAAACAAGGUAAGAUAGGUAAUACAAGUUAAAAGGUAAAUUUCAACCAGCUUAAGGUGAAUUAUUUCCAUUGUCUUUUUGGUGGUGAUCUUUUGCUACUUCCCAAGUGUAAUGUAUAGCCUUAGGACUCUCUGGAGAUCUCCCAUCCAAUUUUGAACCAAGACCAACCCUGCUUAGUUCUGAAGUUCAAAAAAGGUUUGCCAGAUAUUGCCGCUUGCUCAGACAGAAGUUUAGAAUUGUAAUUUUCACACAAUUUGCUACUUUACAUCAAGCCAAGAUCACAUCCAAAUGAAUAUACAUGGUAAUGUGUGCAAAUUCUGCACUUGGUAUUUGGAGACUGACAUCUGACACUAGUACCAUGAUUGUACCAGAUAUGUUUGAGAUGUGUAUCUGGUGUCAUGUUUUGUUAUUUGCAACAUCCAGGUCAGUUAAAGCAAUUCUGUAUUUCUCUCUACUCUGGUCAGGCAGAAAUGGCUUUUUACAAAGUUACAAAAUUUUGAGUGAUAGCUUGUGUUGUAUAGUGAAAAAUAACAUCUUCGCUUAUUUUUGUGAACUGUCUGCUUUAGAAUAAUAGAAUCAUAGAAUUCUGGAGUAGGGAGAGUUCAUGACAAUCAUUUAUUCCAACCCUCAGGAAUAUAUUCUCCAAGUUCUUCAAUCAAGUUCUUCUCUAAGCCAUGAAUUCCCUUUAUUGAAUGGGCACCUUAUGUUUUCCUCUGUAA